rnacentral:tRNA from 1 species
GGGGCUGUGGCUCAGUGGUAGAGCACUUGCCUCGCAUGUAUGAGGCACUGGGUUCGAUUCUCAGCACCCCA